CCUACGGGUGGCAGCAGUGGGGAAUAUUGCACAAUGGGGGGAACCCUGAUGCAGCAAUGCCGCGUGAAGGAUGAAGGUUUUCGGAUUGUAAACUUCUUUUGUACGGGACGAAGAAAGUGCCGGUACCGUAAGAAUAAGCCACGGCUAACUACGUGCCAGCAGCCGCGUUAAUACGUAGGUGGUAAGCGUUUUCCGGAUUUACUGGGUGGAAAGGGGGAGUAGGCGGGAUUGCAAGUCAGAUGUGAAAACUAUGGGCUCAACCGAUAGAGUGCAUUUGACACUGCAGUUCUUGAGUGAUGGAGAGGCAGGCGGAAUUCCCGGUGUAGCGGUGGAAUGCGUAGAUAUCGGGAGGAACACCAGUGGCGAAGGCAGCCUGCCGCAGCGUUACUGACGCUGAAGCUCGAAAGCGCGGGUAUCGAACAGGAUUAGAUACCCUGGUAGUC
rnacentral:rRNA from 1 species